rnacentral:rRNA from 1 species
GGUUGAUCGGCCACAUUGGGACUGAGACACGGCCCAAACUCCUACGGGAGGCAGCAGUAGGGAAUCUUCCACAAUGGACGAAAGUCUGAUGGAGCAACGCCGCGUGAAUGAAGAAGGCCUUCGGGUCGUAAAAUUCUGUUGUCAGAGAAGAAUGUGCGUGAGAGUAACUGUUCACGUAUUGACGGUAUCUGACCAGAAAGCCACGGCUAACUACGUGCCAGCAGCCGCGGUAAUACGUAGGUGGCAAGCGUUGUCCGGAUUUAUUGGGCGUAAAGGGAACGCAGGCGGUCUUUUAAGUCUGAUGUGAAAGCCUUCGGCUUAACCGAAGUAGUGCAUUGGAAACUGGAAGACUUGAGUGCAGAAGAGGAGAGUGGAACUCCAUGUGUAGCGGUGAAAUGCGUAGAUAUAUGGAAGAACACCAGUGGCGAAAGCGGCUCUCUGGUCUGUAACUGACGCUGAGGUUCGAAAGCGUGGGUAGCAAACAGGAUUAGAUACCCUGGUAGUCCACGCCGUAAACGAUGAGUGCUAAGUGUUGGAGGGUUUCCGCCCUUCAGUGCUGCAGCUAACGCAUUAAGCACUUCGCCUGGGGAGUACGGUCGCAAGACUGAGACUCAAAGGAAUUGACGGGGGCCCGCACAAGCGGUGGAGCAUGUGGUUUAAUUCGAAGCAACGCGAAGAACCUUACCAGGUCUUGACAUCUUCUGACAAUUCCAGAGAUGGAACGUUCCCUUCGGGGACAGAAUGACAGGUGGUGCAUGGUUGUCGUCAGCUCGUGUCGUGAGAUGUUGGGUUAAGUCCCGCAACGAGCGCAACCCUUAUUGUCAGUUGCCAUCAUUAAGUUGGGCACUCUGGCGAGACUGCCGGUGACAAACCGGAGGAAGGUGGGGAUGACGUCAAAUCAUCAUGCCCCUUAUGACCUGGGCUACACACGUGCUACAAUGGACGGUACAACGAGUCGCUAACUCGCGAGGGCAAGCUAAUCUCUUAAAGCCGUUCUCAGUUCGGAUUGCAGGCUGCAACUCGCCUGCAUGAAGUCGGAAUCGCUAGUAAUCGCGAAUCAGCAUGUCGCGGUGAAUACGUUCCCGGGCCUUGUACACACCGCCCGUCACACCAUGAGAGUUUGUAACACCCAAAGUCGGUGGGGUAACCUUUUGGAGCCAGCCGCCUAAGGUGGGACAGAUGAUUGGGGUGAAGUCGUAACAAGGUA